CGGCGUGCCUAAUACAUGCAAGUCGAACGCAUUGUGGUUGAAAUGAUAUGAAGAACUUGUUCAGAUUUGAUUUUCAACAUUGCAAUGAGUGGCGAACGGGUGAGUAACACGUGGGAACCUACCUCUUAGCAGGGGAUAACAUUUGGAAACAAAUGCUAAUACCGUAUAAUAAUUAAAACCGCAUGGUUUUAGUUUAAAAGAUGGUCUUGCUAUCACUAAGAGAUGGUCCCGCGGUGUAUUAGUUAGUUGGUGAGGUAAUGGCUCACCAAGACAAUGAUACAUAGCCGAGUUGAGAGACUGACCGGCCACAAUGGGACUGAGACACGGCCCAUACUCCUACGGGAGGCAGCAGUAGGGAAUCUUCCACAAUGGACGAAAGUCUGAUGGAGCAACGCCGCGUGUGUGAUGAAGGGUUUCGGCUCGUAAAACACUGUUGUAAGAGAAGAAUGACAUUGAGAGUAACUGUUCAAUGUGUGACGGUAUCUUACCAGAAAGGAACGGCUAAAUACGUG
rnacentral:rRNA from 1 species